CCCUUCAGAGGGGGACAACAGUUGGAAACGACUGCUAAUACCGCAUACGAUCUAAUCUCGGCAUCGAGGAUAGAUGAAAGGUGGCCUCUACAUGUAAGCUAUCACUGAAGGAGGGGAUUGCGUCUGAUUAGCUAGUUGGAGGGGUAACGGCCCACCAAGGCGAUGAUCAGUAGCCGGUCUGAGAGGAUGAACGGCCACAUUGGGACUGAGACACGGCCCAG
rnacentral:rRNA from 2 species